CACGCAGGCGGUCCGUUAAAUUAGAAGUGAAAGCCCUGGGCUCAACCCGGGAAUUGCUUUUAAGACUGGCGGGCUUGAAUCCGUGAGAGGGUAGGGGAAUUCCGAGUGUAGAGGUGAAAUUCGUAGAUAUUCGGAAGAACACCAGUGGCGAAGGCGCCUACCUGGCACGGCAUUGACGCUCAUGUGCGAAAGCGUGGGGAGCAAACA
rnacentral:rRNA from 1 species